rnacentral:rRNA from 1 species
AUGACUGGGAAGGAAGAGCAGAAGUCUCGCAAGGAGAAGCGUAAGGAAGCGAGAUCGGAGAAGCACAAGCUGCGGUUUCUCUCUUGGGUUCAGCACCAGGGUGGCAAAAAUAAGAAGACGGCAGUGGUGUCCAUGCAACCUAGUCCAGCAGAGGAGGUAAAACCAAAGAAAGAACCCAAGAAGAGGAGGAGGGAGCCUGAGGAUAGCCACAAGUCCAAGUCCAAAUUCCAGGAGUAUCUUGAAAUGGAGAUGGGUGGUGCUGCUGUGGGCAGAGAGGAGGAUCUGGAGAUGGAGAGGAAGCUUGCAAAAAAGCUCAGGGUGAAGAAAGGAAAGCUGGGAGGUCCAGAUGAUGGUAUGGACGAUCUUUUUGCGGAUCUCGGAUUUUGCGGUGACUAUGGUUCGGAUGGUGAAACAAAAGAUACUAAACCAGAAAAGAAAAAACGGAGCAGGAAAAAUAAGAAUCUGAAGGAUGAUGCAAUGGAGGGCAGUGGGAAGGUAGUCGAUGAUAGUAAGGUAGACAAGAAGAAAAAGAAGAGGAAAAAUAAGAAAGUGAAGGACGAUGCUUCGGAGGAACCGGGUGGUGGAGGUGUGGAAAUGGCUGAAGAAAGUGAUGUAUCAGUUCAUGAAUCUGAGGAUGAAGAGCUUAAUGCGGUUGAAACGCCCCCGGCGUCAAAGGCGAAGUAUGUACCUCCUAGUCUCCGUGCUAUUUCUAGUUCAGAAUCAGAAGAAAUCUCCCUGUUACGCCGAAGAGUGAGAGGACUUCUGAACAGGCUUUCGGAGUCCAAUGUGGAGUCUAUUACUCAGGAAGUUGCUGCAAUUUUUCGCUCGAUUCCACGAGGUGUUGGCUGUCAGUUAAUUGGUGAUGAAGUUUUGGCAAGUUGUUCCCGGGGACCUCGUGGCAAUGAACAGUAUGCUGCUGUAUUUGCAGCCUUUAUUGCUGGUAUGACAUGCUUGGUUGGUAUGGACUUUAGUGCCAAAAUCCUUUCCUCUCUUGCGAAAUCUUUUGAGGAUGAGUACUCAAAAGACGAUGGGUUAUCAGUGAGAAAUCUUAUGUUACUUUUCUCUUAUUUGUGCAUAUUCGACGUCAUUGCAUGCGAUCUUGUGUAUGAUCUUCUCUCAGUGCUGAGUGAGCGCUUGACAGAGCUGGAUGUCUCAACAGUGUUAACCAUCCUGCAGUGCUGUGGAAUGAAGCUGCGGGGAGAUGACCCAGGUGCAAUGAAAGAUUUUGUACUCAGCAUUCAGAACUCGGUAAGGCAGUCCAAAUUGCGCUCAGCUGGCCGAGAAGAUGGAAAAGCAGAUCUACAUAGUAAACGAAUGGAGUUUAUGCUUGAGACGAUAUGUGACAUUAAGAACAACAAGAAAAGGGCCAAAGAGGAUCCUUCACAGCAUACCCGUGUAAAAAAGUGGCUUCAAAAGCUAAAGUCAGAAGAUAUCCUCUUGCGCGGGCUAAAAUGGAGUAAGCUGUUGGAUCCUGAGAAAAAAGGGCAGUGGUGGUUGUCAGGGGAUGUAUCGUCCACAGCAGGCAAUGUUGAAGAUGUUGCAGCAGUUAUCAGCAAGGAGGUUGUAGAGGCACAGAAACUGGUUCAGCUUGCAGCCGCCCAGCGGAUGAACACAGAUAUACGAAGAGCAAUCUUUUGCAUCAUAAUGAGCGCCGAAGACUAUGUAGACGCUUUUGACAAGAUCCUGAGGCUGGACCUAUCUGGGAAGCAGGAUCGAGAAAUUAUGAGAGUCAUUGUUGACUGUUGUCUGCAAGAAAAGACUUUCAAUAAAUAUUACACAGUCCUCGCCUCCAAGCUAUGUAGCCAUGAUAAGAAUCAUAAGUUCAGUUUGCAGUACUGCAUCUGGGACCGUUUUAAGGAGCUAGAUGAGAUGGAGUUGAAUCGGUCCAUGAACCUUGCGAAACUAGUUGCUGAGAUGCUCGCAAGCUUCUCCUUGUCGCUGGCAACACUGAAGGUUGUCAACCUGGCGAACCCAGUGGAGAUGACCCCCAAAAAGAUCAUGCAUUUCCGGAUGAUGUUUGAGACCUUGAUGCAGAAAGAAGACUCGCUUAUGUGGAACGUCUUUACCCGUAUCGCGGGGAACCCGGAGCUGGAGAUGUUGAGAGAUGGAAUCGUGAUGUUUGUCAGGCAGCAUGUGAUCGCCAAGGACGAAGGGAAGGAGUUGGCUGGCAAAUUCAAGAUCGCCAAGAAGGCGCUUGAUAACUCUUCUGGAGUUUUGAUGUGA